ACUACGUGUAGUGUAUGCAAGUACUACGAAUAAGCAUCGGCUAAUUCCGUGCCAGCAGCGCGGUAAUACGGAAGAUGCAAGUGUAUCCGGAUUUAUUGGGUUUAAAGGGUGCGUAGGUGGUCUAAUAAGUCAGUGGUGAAAUCUCUUUGCUUAACAAGGAAAUUGCCAUUGAAACUGUUAGACUUGAGAAUGGACGAGGUAGGCGGAAUUCGUAGUGUAGCGGUGAAAUGCAUAGAUAUUACGAAGAACUCCAAUAGUGUAGACUGCUUACCAGACCAUAUCUGACACUAAGGCACGAAAGUGUGGGUAUCAAACAGGAUUAGAUACCCUGGUAGUCCACACAGUAAACGAUGAAUACUAACUGUUUGCGAUAUACAGCAAGUGGUCGAGCGAAAGCGUUAAGUAUUCCACCUGGGAAGUAUGCCGGCAACGGUGAAACUCAAAGGAAUUGACGGGGGCCCGCACAAGCGGAGGAACAUGUGGUUUAAUUCGAUAAUACGCGAGGAACCUUACCCGGGCUCGAACGAUAUUUGAAUACAUCCGAAAAGAUGUAGCUAGCAAUAGCAAAUACCGAGGUGCUGCAUGGUUGUCGUCAGCUCGUGCCGUGAGGUGUCGACUUAAGUGUCAUAACGAGCGCAACCCUUACCGAUAGUUACCAUCAGAUAAUGCUGGGGACUCUAUUGGGACUGCCACCGUAAGGUGUGAGGAAGGAGAGGAUGACGUCAAAUCAGCACGGCCCUUAUGUCCGGGGCGACACACGUGUUACAAUGGGAGAAACAAGGGGUCGCUACCUGGCAACAGGAUGCUAAUCUCGAAAAUCUCUCUCAGUUCGGAUUGGAGGCUGCAACUCGACUCCAUGAGGCUGGAUUCGCUAGUAAUCGCACAUCAGCCAUGGUGCGGUGAAUACGUUCCCGGGCCUUGUACACACCGCCCGUCAAGCCAUGGAAGCUGGAAGUACCUGAAGUAUGUAACUGAAAAGAGCGUCCU
rnacentral:rRNA from 1 species